rnacentral:SRP_RNA from 1 species
GUCAAAGACCUAAUACUUAGUCCCAGCUACUCGGGAGGCUGAGAUGGGAGGAUCACUUGAGCCCAGGAGUUCUGGGCUGUAGUACACUAUGCCGAUCGGGUGUCUGCACUAAUUUCAGCAUCAAUAUGGUGACCUCCUAGGAGUGGGGGACCACCAGGUCUCUAAGGAGGAGUGAACUAGCCCAGGUUGGAAACGGAGCAGGUCAAAACUCCCAUGCUGAUCAGUAGUGGGAUCACUCCUGUGAAUAGCCACUCUACUCCAGCCUGGGCAACACAGUGAGCCCCUGUCUCU